rnacentral:tRNA from 98 species
UCCCUCGUAGUUCAGUCGGUAGAACGGCGGACUGUUAAUCCGUAUGUCACAGGUUCAAGUCCUGUCGAGGGAGCCA